rnacentral:rRNA from 1 species
CGACGCGCCGCUCCCCUCCCCGCCGCCGACAGCUCAAUAGGAACGAUCAAGCCAACAACCCAGGAGCCUGGGAGCGUGGGCGCGGCCAGGAGGUGCCUCUUCCGCGUCCUACACCUAUGCUGCGGGAUGGAGGAGGCUAGCUCUAGCAUGGAAGGGGCCAGCGGCGGCCACCCGGCCUCCGUCUCCCGCGCCAGCUCCGAGGACGCCGACUUCUUCGACACGCACCGCCAGGAGGACGACGACGACGCCGACGGCGCCUACACUGCCUCCGACAUCGCCGAGCGCUUCGUCCGCGUCAUCGACGGCAAGGUGCACGUCGAUGACGCCGACCCCGUCCGCGGCGCCGUCUCCAAGUUCGGCGGCAUCCUCGACUGGCGAGAGCGGCGGCAGCAGGCCGAGCAGGAGCUGGGCGUGGUGCACGCGGAGGCCGCCGAGUACCAGCGCCGGAUCCGGGAGGCGGACGCCGGCAGGGCGGACGCGCAGCAGGACCUCAUGGGCGCCACCGGCGAGAUCGACGACCUCUGGCUCACCGUCAAGCGCGCGCAGAUCGCCGAGGCGCAGGCGCGCAAGGACUCGGAGCUCGCCAAGCUCCGCCUGCGCAAGCUGGAGAAGAGCGCCCGGGAGCGCGCGGCGGCGAAAGCCGAGCUCGACUCCGUCCGGGGCCGCCACGCCACCGCGCUCGCCGACCUGCGCGCGGCCAGGGCCGAGAUGGACGCGCUCAGGAAGGAGCGGGAAGCCGUCGCGGAGGAGGCCAGCGCCGCGGCGGCGAGGGUGAGGGACACUGCUGGCGAGGCGGUCCGGGCCGGCGAGGCCCUGCGGGAGGCCGCCGGGGAGUUCGAGGUGCUCAGGGCCGAGCUCGAGUCCGCGCGCGCCGCCCACGACGCGGCGGAGGAGAAGAGGAUGAGGCUGGCGCUGGCGUGGCGGGAGGACAAGGUGCGGUGGCAGAACCAGCUGGAGGAAGCCGAGAAGGAGGUGCGGAGGGUGAGGGAUGACCUGGCCGCGGCCGGCGACCUCGAGUCCCAGGUGGCCGCCGCGUCCGAGCAUCUCGCCACCCUCAGAGCCGAGCUGUUCGCGCGCGCGGUCCAAGGGGCCAGCGAGGAGGAGGAGGAGGAUAAGCAGACGUCGGCGGCGAGCAGCACGCCGGCGAUGGUGGACAAGGCGAAGAAGGAGCUCGAGGAGGCGAUGGCGAGCGUCGGGAAGGCCAAGGACGAGGGCAAGAUCCUGCACGUCGCCGCCGCGUCGCUGCGCGCGGACCUGGAGAAGGAGAAGGCGGAGCUCGCCGCGCUACGGCAGAAGCAGAGCACGUCGUCGUCCGCGUCCAUCCCGUCGCUGGAGGAGGAGCUGAGGCGGGUGACCUCCGAGCUGGCCGCGGCGCAGGCAAGAGCGAGGGAGAGGGACGAGGCGAAGAAGGCGACGCCCGAGCAGCUAGACGAGGCACGGCGAGAGGCGGAGCGAGCCAAGGCGAGCGCGCGGGCGACGCAGGAGGAAGUCGCCGCGGCCAGGGAAGACGCGCGCGUGACCAGGGCCGCGGUCCAGGCCACGGAGGCGCGGCUGGAGGCCGUGCUGCGGGAGGCCCUCGCCGCGAAGGCGUCGGCGGAGGCCGCCGCGGCCUCGGCGGACGCGCUGCAGCAGGCCCAAGUCCCCGAAGACUGCGUGGCGUUGAGCACGGAGGAGUACGAGGAGCUGAGCCGGCGGGCGCGGGGGACGGAGGAGGCGGGCGGCGAGCGGGUGGCGGAGGCGCUGAGGCAGGUGAAGGAGGCCCAGGAGGCGGAGGCGCGGGGCCAGCAGAAGCUGGCGAAGCUGGGGCGGGACACGGAGCUGCGGAGGCAGACGCUGCGGGCGGCGACGGAGGAGUGCGAGCAGGCGGAGUCGGCGAAAGUGGCGGCGGAGCGGGCGCUGCAGGCGGAGCUGCGGCGGCGCGCGGGCAGCGAGACGGCGUCGCCGCCCCGCGCGGGGCUGGCGGAGAUCUCGACGCUGGAGGGCGGCGACGGGCGCGGCGGGAACCCGCACAUCCUGAGCCCUCGGGCCGGGUACAUGCCGCGGGCGGACGCGGCGGCGAUGGCGGCGGCGGACGAGGCGGGGCAGAAGAAGCCCUUCUUCCCGCGCAUGGUCAUGUUCCUGGCCAAGAAGAGAGCGCAGACAUGGAACGCCAAGUGAUGCGUGGAUCGGAUCAGCUUUGCUGCUGGCUGUGAUGAUAAUACUGAUGCAUCAUCGGACAUGUGUAAUGUGUAUAUUGAUCAAUGAGGUGGAUCAUGAUAUACGAGUGACUCUUUUUGUAAAUGGUUUUUGGUCUAACAAAGAUGAUCAUGAGAAUUUUUGGCUGGGUGCUUGCAAAUCAAAGUUGGUUUCUGUGGUGCAAAUUUCGGAUCCAAAUUCCAGUUGAUGUUUCUCUGCAGUAUACAUGGACACAUGCAUGUUGUAGGCGCGUGUCACUAGAGGUUCAGUUAUUUGGUGGGUUUGUGCUUGCGUUCGGUUUUUCUGGCUUAUAUAAAGCG